UACGAAGGGGGCUAGCGUUGCUCGGAAUCACUGGGCGUAAAGCGCACGUAGGCGGCCAACUAAGUCAGACGUGAAAUCCCUCAGCUUAACUGGGGAACUGCGUCUGAUACUGGAUGGCUUGGAUUUGGGAGAGGAAUGCGGAAUUCCAGGUGUAGCGGUGAAAUGCGUAGAUAUCUGGAGGAACACCGGUGGCGAAGGCGGCAUUCUGGACCAAUAUUGACGCUGAGGAGCGAAAGCCAGGGGAGCAAACGGG
rnacentral:rRNA from 1 species